GAUAAACGCUGGCGGCGCACAUAAGACAUGCAAGUUGAACGGACUUAAUCGAAAUAUUUAUAUUUUGAAGCGGUUAGUGGCGGACUGGUGAGUAACGCGUAAGGAACCUGCCUAUUAGAGGGGAAUAACAGUGAGAAAUCAUUGCUAAUACCGCAUAUGCCAUAGAUAUCACAUGAUAACAGUGGGAAAGGAGCAAUCCGCUAAUAGAUGGCCUUGCGUCUGAUUAGAUAGUUGGUGGGGUAACGGCCUACCAAGUCGACGAUCAGUAGCCGGACUGAGAGGUUGAACGGCCACAUUGGGACUGAGAUACGGCCCAGACUCCUACGGGAGACAGCAGUCGGGAAUAUUGCGCAAUGGAGGAAACUCUGACGCAGUGACGCCGCGUAUAGGAAGAAGGUUUUCGGAUUGUAAACUAUUGUCGUUAGGGAAGAGAAAGGACAGUACCUAAGGAGGAAGCUCCGGCUAACUACGUG
rnacentral:rRNA from 1 species